rnacentral:rRNA from 1 species
AACGAACGCUGGCGGCAUGCCUAAUACAUGCAAUUCGAACGAGAUCUUCGGAUCUAGUUGAGAACGGGUGCGUAACGCGUGGGAAUCUGCCCUUGGGUUCGGAAUAACGUCGGGAAACUGACGCUAAAACCGGAUGAUGAAGUAAGUCCAAAGAUAUAUCGCCCAAGGAUGAGCCCGCGUAGGAUUGGCUCGUUGGUGGGGUAAAGGCCCACCAAGGCGACGAUCCUUAGCUGGUUUGUGAGGAUGAAUAGCCACACUGGGACUGAGACACGGCCCAGACUCCUACGGGAGGCAGCAGUAGGGAAUAUUGGACAAUGGGGGCAACCCUGAUCCAGCAAUGCCGCGUGAGUGAUGAAGGCCUUAGGGUUGUAAAGCUCUUUUACCCGGGAUGAUAAUGACAGUACCGGGAGAAUAAGCCCCGGCUAACUCCGUGCCAGCCGCCGCCGUAA